GGAUUCUGGCGCUUCAUGACAUGCCGUUAUGUAGAGCAAUAAUGAGCCCUGGCCUGUUUUGGAUUAGUUGACGACCCUCAGAAAUGAUACAGUCAUAUCUACCACAGGGAAGCUGAACAUACUCGGUUUGGAGUGGACGACCCAAAUUGUCAGUGGAGUGUCAAAAUGACAGACCCAAUGAUGGACUUUUUUGAUGAUGCCAAUCUCUUUGGUGAGACUUUAGAAGGCUUGUCGGAUGAUGCAUUUGUACAGCCAGGCCCCGUCUCGCUAGUCGAUGAACUGAACUUGGGUGCAGAGUUCGAACCUUUGCACAUAGACUCACUGAACCAUGUACAAGGUACCCCAGUGCAUCAGAAGAUGGCGGACUUCGAACAGUUAAACCAA
rnacentral:lncRNA from 1 species